rnacentral:rRNA from 1 species
GUGGGGAAUUUUGGACAAUGGGCGCAAGCCUGAUCCAGCCAUUCCGCGUGCAGGAUGAAGGCCUUCGGGUUGUAAACUGCUUUUGUACGGAACGAAAAGGUUCUCUCUAAUACAGGGGGCUGAUGACGGUACCGUAAGAAUAAGCACCGGCUAACUACGUGCCAGCAGCCGCGGUAAUACGUAGGGUGCAAGCGUUAAUCGGAAUUACUGGGCGUAAAGCGUGCGCAGGCGGUGAUGUAAGACAGAUGUGAAAUCCCCGGGCUCAACCUGGGAACUGCAUUUGUGACUGCAUUGCUGGAGUGCGGCAGAGGGGGAUGGAAUUCCGCGUGUAGCAGUGAAAUGCGUAGAUAUGCGGAGGAACACCGAUGGCGAAGGCAAUCCCCUGGGCCUGCACUGACGCUCGUGCACGAAAGCGUGGGGAGCAAACAGGAUUAGAAACCCGGGUAGUCC